rnacentral:rRNA from 1 species
GACGAACGCUGGCGGCGUGCUUAACACAUGCAAGUCGAACGGAAAGGCCCUGCUUUUGUGGGUUGCUCGAGUGGCGAACGGGUGAGUAACACGUGAGUAACCUGCCCUUGACUUUGGGAUAACUUCAGGAAACUGGGGCUAAUACCGGAUAGGAGCUCCUGCUGCAUGGUGGGGGUUGGAAAGUUUCGGCGGUUGGGGAUGGACUCGCGGCUUAUCAGCUUGUUGGUGGGGUAGUGGCUUACCAAGGCUUUGACGGGUAGCCGGCCUGAGAGGGUGACCGGCCACAUUGGGACUGAGAUACGGCCCAGACUCCUACGGGAGGCAGCAGUGGGGAAUAUUGCACAAUGGGCGGAAGCCUGAUGCAGCAACGCCGCGUGCGGGAUGACGGCCUUCGGGUUGUAAACCGCUUUCGCCUGUGACGAAGCGUGAGUGACGGGAAUGGGUAAAGAAGCACCGGCGAACUACGU